UACGUAGGGUCCGAGCGUUGUCCGGAAUUAUUGGGCGUAAAGGGCUCGUAGGCGGUCCGUUACGUCGGGAGUGAAAACUCGGAGCUCAACUCCGAGCCUGCUUCCGAUACGGGCAGACUAGAGGUAUUCAGGGGAGAACGGAAUUCCUGGUGUAGCGGUGAAAUGCGCAGAUAUCAGGAGGAACACCGGUGGCGAAGGCGGUUCUCUGGGAAUGUCCUGACGCUGAGGAGCGAAAGUGUGGGGAGCGAACAGG
rnacentral:rRNA from 1 species